UUGCUGUGGGUGUUAUUAAGAGUGUAGAGAAGAAGGAUCCAACUGGAGCUAAGGUCACCAAGUCUGCUGCCAAGAAGGGAGGAAAAUGAAUUGUGCUGUCUGCGAGUUCUAUUAUUGCCAUUAAGGACAUUUUGUGCUACUAUUUUUGUGUUUUAAAAUGUUUAUUCACGAGUUAUAUAUUGAGUUUUCCGUGUCCACCGUCUGGUUGCUGUACUCAGUAUUGGGUGCUAGACAGGCGGUGGAGACGGUCUGUAUGAGGAUUUAUGGUUUGAUUUUGCAAGUUUUUCUACAACAGAUUGAGCUUUAUAUUGCUUUUCUUAUAUUACUUUAUUCUGGUCUCUCUGAUUUGGUUUUGGAUGGUAUGCCAGUGGUGGUUUCCUGUCUCAUCUUUGAUCAAGUACUUUUGCUGUUCUGAUUGCUUCUAACUUGCUCCAGAUUGCAGGUCUGUUGUUGCCAAGGAAACCUUUCUCACUUGAUGUGAUAUACAGCCACUGGCAGUGACCAAAUGCUUCGUAUGUUCCAAAAUGGAAUAUCCGAACAGAAUAUCUCAUAUGUAAAUGGCUCGCUUUAGUUGAUUUUCCUUUUUCUUUAUUUUCCUUGAAGACUAAUAGAGCAAUUAAGACACCAAGUAAAUUUAAAUGCAAGAGAAAGGGCUUAACACUAACAGGGGCAUGGAAGUCGGAUAUUUCAGUUGAAUAAGCAAGUAGUUGAAUUCAAAUGCUGAGAGCAUUUCGUUACUUCUUGUACAGGGCAUUUCAGUUGAGAGCAUAGCGAAAAAUCUUGUUACUGGGACGACGGAGAUGUGCAAGUGUUCAUGUCAUUUUCUUUUUAAUAAAUUUAUAUUUAGCUUAUUUUAAAUGAAUAAAUUUGUA
rnacentral:misc_RNA from 1 species